GACGAACGCUGGCGGCGUGCCUAAUACAUGCAAGUAGAACGCUGAAGGAGGAGCUUGCUUCUCUGGAUGAGUUGCGCACGGGUGAGUAACGCGUAGGUAACCUGCCUGGUAGCGGGGGAUAACUAUUGGAAACGAUAGCUAAUACCGCAUAAUAGUAGAUGUCGCAUGACAUUUGCUUAAAAGGUGCAAUUGCAUCACUACCAGAUGGACCUGCGUUGGAUUAGCUAGUUGGUGAGGUAACGGCUCACCAAGGCAACGACAGAUAGCCGACCUGGGAGGGGGAGCGGGCACACUGGGACUGAGACAAGGCCCAGGCUCCUACGGGAGGCAGCAGUAGGGAAUCUUCGGAAAUGGACGGAAGUCUGACCGAGCAACGCCGCGUGAGUGAAGAAGGUUUUCGGAUCGUAAAGCUCUGUUGUAAGAGAAGAACGAGUGUGAGAGUGGAAAGUUCACACUGUGACGGUAUCUUACCAGAAAGGGACGGCUAACUACGUG
rnacentral:rRNA from 1 species